GCAGUCCAAGUAUUGAGGGUGAUGCCUGCCCAGUGACACUGUUUAACGGCCGCGGUAUCCUAACCGUGCGAAGGUAGCGCAAUCAAUUGUCCCAUAAAUCGAGACUUGUAUGAAUGGCUAAACGAGGUCCUAACUGUCUCUUACAGACGAUCAGUGAAAUUGAUCUCCCUGUGCAAAAGCAGGAAUGUACACAUAAGACGAGAAGACCCUGUGGAACUUAAAAAUCAACGGCCACUGCACACAAUAUUAAACCUACUAGGCUUACCAUAAUUAAAACAUUGGCUCGUAUUUUUUGGUUGGGGCGACCUUGGAGAAAAACAGACCCUCCAAAAAUAAGACCACCCGUCUUAACCAAGAGCAACACCUCGACGUACUAACAGUAACCAGACCCAAUAUAAUUGAUCAAUGAACCAAGCUACCCCAGGGAUAACAGCGCAAUCUCCUUCAAGAGCCCAUAUCGACAAGGAGGUUUACGACCUCGAUGUUGGAUCAGGACACCCUAAUGGUGCAGCCGCUAUUAAGGGUUCGUUUGUUC
rnacentral:rRNA from 1 species